rnacentral:rRNA from 1 species
AGAGUUUGAUCCUGGCUCAGAGCGAACGCUGGCGGCAGGCCUAACACAUGCAAGUCGAACGAACUCUUCGGAGUUAGUGGCGGACGGGUGAGUAACACGUGGGAACGUGCCUUUAGGUUCGGAAUAACUCAGGGAAACUUGUGCUAAUACCGAAUGUGCCCUUCGGGGGAAAGAUUUAUCGCCUUUAGAGCGGCCCGCGUCUGAUUAGCUAGUUGGUGAGGUAAAGGCUCACCAAGGCGACGAUCAGUAGCUGGUCUGAGAGGAUGAUCAGCCACAUUGGGACUGAGACACGGCCCAAACUCCUACGGGAGGCAGCAGUGGGGAAUCUUGCGCAAUGGGCGAAAGCCUGACGCAGCCAUGCCGCGUGAAUGAUGAAGGUCUUAGGAUUGUAAAAUUCUUUCACCGGGGACGAUAAUGACGGUACCCGGAGAAGAAGCCCCGGCUAACUUCGUGCCAGCAGCCGCGGUAAUACGAAGGGGGCUAGCGUUGCUCGGAAUUACUGGGCGUAAAGGGAGCGUAGGCGGACAUUUAAGUCAGGGGUGAAAUCCCGGGGCUCAACCUCGGAAUUGCCUUUGAUACUGGGUGUCUUGAGUAUGAGAGAGGUGUGUGGAACUCCGAGUGUAGAGGUGAAAUUCGUAGAUAUUCGGAAGAACACCAGUGGCGAAGGCGACACACUGGCUCAUUACUGACGCUGAGGCUCGAAAGCGUGGGGAGCAAACAGGAUUAGAUACCCUGGUAGUCCACGCCGUAAACGAUGAUUGCUAGUUGUCGGGAUGCAUGCAUUUCGGUGACGCAGCUAACGCAUUAAGCAAUCCGCCUGGGGAGUACGGUCGCAAGAUUAAAACUCAAAGGAAUUGACGG